rnacentral:rRNA from 1 species
UACGAAGGGGGCUAGCGUUGCUCGGAAUCACUGGGCGUAAAGGGUGCGUAGGCGGGUCUUUAAGUCAGGGGUGAAAUCCUUGAGCUCAACUCCAGAACUGCCUUUGAUACUGAGGAUCUUGAGUUCGGGAGAGGUGAGUGGAACUGCGAGUGUAGAGGUGAAAUUCGUAGAUAUUCGCAAGAACACCAGUGGCGAAGGCGGCUCACUGGCCCGAUACUGACGCUGAGGCACGAAAGCGUGGGGAGCAAACAGG